AUAAAAUCAGAAAUUUUAUCAAAUUUAGCUUUGCAAUACAAAAAUUUAAAGUUACUACAAGCCAAUCUGCUAACAUUAUUUUUUAAGAUGAAUUUAAAGUAAAUAAUUUGAUGACCUUUGUUUAUGUCACCAAGCACAAAACUUUGAUCGACAGCAUAUAAACUACCAGAUUCUGUUGUAAAUAUUAAAUCUAAAACAUUUGAGGUUGAGCCAUUGGCCAGUUGAAAAAUUGGUAUGUUUAUAUGUUGAUAGAGGUAUCACUUAAAGUUUUAUAGAGUUUAUGUUCUAUGCCACUGUCAUCUGAAAUUGAUCUCUAGUAGCAAACAAUAUUGGCGUAAUAUUGGCACGAUAUUGGGUAUCUUGGCUAAUCUUUGGCGAAAUAUUGUUUGCCAAUAUUGGCUUUAUUUUAAAUUUUACAUAUGGUACGCAUGCGAAACAUUAAGGAAUAUUCAUAAUGUCCUUUAGUUUUGUUAAAUGUGUUAAAAUGUAAAUAAUAGCAUCUUUUUACAUAAACAGGCAUUCUUAUGUUAUUAAUUUUUUAACAAAAACAAAUAAGAAUUCAAAAUAAAAAUUUUAAUUUAUGAAAAGAGAAGAAAAAGAAAAAGUAUUUUUAAUUCAACAUUUACAGAGUGAAUCAGGAGAAGUGUUGGUAAUUUAUUUUGAAACAGAUAGUAUCACGAAAAGAAGUAAUAAAAUUCUUUUAUUCAACAUUGCGAAUUGAAUUACGAGAUGAAGUGGUUGUAAUUAAAUUAAAACAUAUUGCAUCACGAGAAGAAUAAGAAAAAUAUUGCUAUACUCAAGAAUCAAGAUUAAAAUACUGAUGUACCGUUAAACUGAAGGUGGUAAUAAAGUUUACAAAAUUUGCUCUGGCUGAAUUUUUCAAUGAAAAAACAAUAUGUGUGCCAUAAAUGUAAUCCGUUUUUCAUGGGGUAUCAAUAAAAGUUUGAUGUAUUGGUCAAAUCACUUGCAAGCAUCUUGCUAUUAAACUGCCAUACGUAAAGUCACGCUUUUAAAAGUAACUGAAAGCAGUUGAAAAUAAGAAUUUUUUGGUAAUUGUCUUAUUUACAAUAUUGUUUUUGUUUUAUUUACAGUAUUGUCUUUGUUUUUUAUCUAAACAGCUAUGUUUGACUCAAAUAUAGUAAAUGUUGAUUGUUUAUUAUGGUUUAAUCUCUUCUUUAUACUUUUUUUUGGCAGUUAUGAGACUGCUUUAGAACGGAAUUAUCUGUGCCUCCAGCUUAAAAAGAUGCAGGUUACAAAAAAAGUGACACUAAUGAGAUUGCCUCUCAGUUUCUCAAAGAUUAAAGAAAUCUUUAGUGUUUUAGGGUUAAGUGAUUCCAUCAGAGCUUUGCUUGACCAUCUCUUUCGAUUUAUUUAAUUUAUUUGCCGAUUAUAGAUAAAAAAAGAUCUUCUAAACCUAGAAGAAAAAUUAUGGAACAAAGAUACCUUAUGAAUGAAUAGUAUAUAUCAGUGAAUUGAUAUUAGUUAAUAGUUUUUGGAAACAGUACCAUGUACUAUUAAAGUUUCAAAUUUUUAAAAUAUAUGAUACAUUUAUAUGAAACAUACAAACAAAUGAUCCAAUAUGAUACGUUAUUGACUAUAAUUAUGUUGUAUAUCAGAAUGUUUUAUAUAAAUGCUUAUUACAUUUUAUUGUGAUUUUUAUCUUUUAUGCCCAGUUAGCGUUGUAUUUUGUAUAGCAAUGACUACUAAUCUCAGAUAUCUAUGACAUCUAUAGGGUGUAUUCACCGCUACAGAUGUCAUAAUCUAAUUAUAACCAAUUGCUUUUACUCUUCCAUAAUGUCAUAUUUUAAUAAGAAUCACAUUAUGGAAAACCGUCUAAUACAUACACAUGAGGAACCAUUAUACUUUUAGUACAACCAAUUAUAUUAUAUUUGUUUUCUUAUUUUAUAUGAACUUUCUUACUUCGGUUAAGGAGAUGAGAAACAACUUAUAGCGGCAAUCUUAAUACAGCUAGUGGCCAAAGAAAUAUGUUUUUCAUCAGUGUAUACUCAGUGUAUGGAAUGAAACAAAAACGUCCUGCAAGGUCGUUAUAGAGUUGCUUUUAGUCGUUUAUCGUUGUAUUCGUUCAUUUCGAAAUCGUUGCUGACAAAAGUAUUAAAGAAAAAAUUGGCAGCUUUCUGGCGACGGCCAUUAAUAGAGAUUACGGAAGAAAAAUAGAACCGUAACUGAGCAAAACCCAAUAUUGAGCAAUGAAACAAGUAUCGCCAAUAUUAUGAAAGUCGAUGCCCACUAUCUCAUAGUGAGAGUAUAAUACAGUACUUUUAAUAACAUUGAUUUUAUUUUAUUAUAUUUUGGUUUUGGAAAACUCUAUACCUCUUUUUUCAUUUGUAUCUGUUUCAUAUAAUUUCAAAUAAAUUUAAUGAUUUCAAAUUUUUUUUUUCUUAAAGCGUGUUCCAUGAUUAUUGUCAUCUCCUAGACUAUAACCUGUUUUACUC